GGCCCAAUGGUCUAGUCGUAUGAUUCGCGCUUCGGGUUAUCCGAAGUUGCGCGAGGUCCCGGGUUCAAUUCCCGGUUGGGCCC
rnacentral:tRNA from 1 species